GACGAACGCUGGCGGCGUGCUUAACACAUGCAAGUCGAACGGAAAGGCCCUGCUUUUGUGGUGUGCUCGAGUGGCGAACGGGUGAGUAACACGUGAGUAACCUGCCCUUGACUUUGGGAUAACUUCAGGAAACUGGGGCUAAUACCGGAUAGGAGCUCCUGCUGCAUGGUGGGGGUUGGAAAGUUUCGGCGGUUGGGGAUGGACUCGCGGCUUAUCAGCUUGUUGGUGGGGUAGUGGCUUACCAAGGCUUUGACGGGUAGCCGGCCUGAGAGGGUGACCGGCCACAUUGGGACUGAGAUACGGCCCAGAGUCCUACGGGAGGCAGCAGUGGGGAAUAUUGCACAAUGGGCGGAAGCCGGAUGCAGCAACGCCGCGUGCGGGAUGACGGCCUUCGGGUUGUAAACCGCUUUCGCCUGUGACGAAGCGUGAGUGACGGUAAUGGGUAAAGAAGCACCGGCUAACUACGUG
rnacentral:rRNA from 1 species